UACGUAGGGGGCUAGCGUUGUCCGGAUUUAUUGGGCGUAGAGAGCGUGUAGGCGGCCAGGUAGGUCUGCUGUGAAAACUCGAGGCUCAACCUCGAGACGUCGGCGGAAACCAUCUGGCUAGAGUCCGGAAGAGGAGAGUGGAAUUCCUGGUGUAGCGGUGAAAUGCGCAGAUAUCAGGAAGAACACCCGUGGCGAAGGUGGCUCUCUGGGACGGUACUGACGCUGAGACGCGAAAGCGUGGGGAGCGAACAGG
rnacentral:rRNA from 1 species